rnacentral:lncRNA from 1 species
UUUUUUUAAUAACAGUUUGUUAGCAUAAAUAUUUACUUGUGAAAUCGAGGAGGAGAAAAUGUUAGAAAAAAUAAAAAGAAAAAAAAUAUAAGGGAGAUAGAAUCAGAUUUUCUUUUUUGAGCAAAGAACAUACGUAAAAAGACAUUAAAUCUAUUAAGUCUAAUUGUCUAUAACGGUAAAUUGCAUAACGAAUAAUUUAUCAGCGUAAAAUAAAUUUU